AUUGAACGCUGGCGGCAGGCCUAACACAUGCAAGUCGAGCGGGGUUUUCGGACCUAGCGGCGGACGGGUGAGUAAUGCGUAGGAAGCUGCCCGAUAGAGGGGGAUACCAGUUGGAAACGACUGUUAAUACCGCAUAAUGUCUACGGACCAAAGUGUGGGACCUUCGGGCCACAUGCUAUCGGAUGCGCCUACGUGGGAUUAGCUAGUUGGUGAGGGAAUGGCUCACCAAGGCGACGAUCUCUAGAUGGUUUGAGAAGAUGAUCAGCCACACUGGAACUGAGACACGGUCCAGACUCCUACGGGAGGCAGCCGUGGGGAAUAUUGGACAAGGGGCGAAAGCCUGAUCCAGCCAUGCCGCGUGUGUGAAGAAGGCCUUCGGGUUGUAAAGCACUUUCAGCGAGGAGGAAGGGGUGUGUGUUAAUAGUACACACCUUUGACGUUACUCGCAGAAGAAGCACCGGCUAACUCUGUGCCAGCAGCCGCCGUAACAC
rnacentral:rRNA from 1 species